UACAGAGGUCUCAAGCGUUGUUCGGAUUCAUUGGGCGUAAAGGGUGUGUAGGUGGCGCGCUAAGUCGGGUGUGAAAUUUCGGAGCUUAACUCCGAAACUGCAUUCGAUACUGGCGUGCUUGAGGACUGGAGAGGAGACUGGAAUUUACGGUGUAGCAGUGAAAUGCGCAGAUAUCAGGAGGAACACCGGUGGCGAAGGCGGGUCUCUGGGCCGAUACUGACGCUGAGGAGCGAAAGCGUGGGGAGCGAACAGG
rnacentral:rRNA from 1 species